rnacentral:rRNA from 1 species
UAGGGAAUAUUGGGCAAUGGAUGAGAGUCUGACCCAGCCAUGCCGCGUGCCGGAUGAAGGCCCUCUGGGUUGUAAACGGCUUUUAUCCGGGAAGAAGAGCGGGGAUGCGUCCCCGUGUGACGGUACCGGAUGAAUAAGCACCGGCUAACUCCGUGCCAGCAGCCGCGGUAAUACGGAGGGUGCAAGCGUUGUCCGGAUUUAUUGGGUUUAAAGGGUGCGUAGGUGGCCCCAUAAGUCAGUGGUGAAAGACAGCCGCUCAACGGUUGAGGUGCCAUUGAUACUGUGGGGCUUGAAGCAGACAGAGGCUGCCGGAAUGGAUGGUGUAGCGGUGAAAUGCAUAGAUAUCAUCCAGAACACCGAUUGCGAAGGCAGGUGGCUAUGUCUGACUUGACACUGAGGCACGAAAAGCAUGGGGAGCAAACAGGAUUAGAUACCCUGGUAGUCCAUGCCGUAAAGCGAUGAGGACUCGCUAUUUGGCCUUUUGAGGCUGAGUGGCUUAGCGAAAAGCGUUAAGUCCUCCACCUGGGGAGUACGCCGGCAACGGUGAAACUCAAAUGAAUUGACGGGGUCAUAGCUGUUUCCUG